rnacentral:rRNA from 1 species
UACGAAGGUUGCAAGCGUUGUUCGGAAUUACUGGGCGUAAAGGGCGCGUAGGCGGCCCUCUAAGUCGAACGUGAAAUCCCCGGGCUCAACCCGGGAACUGCGUCCGAUACUGGAGGGCUCGAAUCCGGGAGAGGGAUGUGGAAUUCCAGGUGUAGCGGUGAAAUGCGUAGAUAUCUGGAGGAACACCGGUGGCGAAGGCGGCAUCCUGGACCGGUAUUGACGCUGAGGCGCGAAAGCCAGGGGAGCAAACGGG